UGGGGAAUAUUGCACAAUGGGCGCAAGCCUGAUGCAGCCAUGCCGCGUGUGUGAAGAAGGCCUUCGGGUUGUAAAGCACUUUCAGCGGGGAGGAAGGCGAUAAGGUUAAUAACCUUGUCGAUUGACGUUACCCGCAGAAGAAGCACCGGCUAACUCCGUGCCAGCAGCCGCGGUAAUACGGAGGGUGCAAGCGUUAAUCGGAAUUACUGGGCGUAAAGCGCACGCAGGCGGUUGAUUGAGUCAGAUGUGAAAUCCCCGGGCUUAACCCGGGAAUUGCAUCUGAUACUGGUCAGCUAGAGUCUUGUAGAGGGGGGUAGAAUUCCAUGUGUAGCGGUGAAAUGCGUAGAGAUGUGGAGGAAUACCGGUGGCGAAGGCGACCCCCUGGACAAAGACUGACGCUCAGGUGCGAAAGCGUGGGGAGCAAACAGG
rnacentral:rRNA from 1 species